AUACUUACCUGGCACAGGAGAUACCGUGAUCACGAAGGCGGUUCUCCCAGGCGAGGCACCAUUGCACUCCGGUGGCGCUGACCCCUGCGAUUAACCAAAUGUGGUUAACUCGAGUGCGCAAUUUUUGGUAGCGGGGGACUGCGUUCGCGCUAUCCCCCU
rnacentral:snRNA from 1 species